rnacentral:rRNA from 1 species
UACGUAGGGUGCAAGCGUUACUCGGAAUUACUGGGCGUAAAGCGUGCGCAGGCGGCUUUGCAAGACAGAUGUGAAAUCCCCGGGCUCAACCUGGGAACUGCAUUUGUGACUGCAUGGCUUGAGUGCGGCAGAGGGGGAUGGAAUUCCGCGUGUAGCAGUGAAAUGCGUAGAUAUGCGGAGGAACACCGAUGGCGAAGGCAAUCCCCUGGGCCUGCACUGACGCUCAUGCACGAAAGCGUGGGGAGCAAACAGG